rnacentral:rRNA from 1 species
AGUCGUAACAAGGUCUCCGUUGGUGAACCAGCNNNNGGAUCAUUACCGAGUUUACAACUCCCAAACCCAUGUGAACAUACCUACUGUUGCUUCGGCGGGAUUGCCCCGGGCGCCUCGUGCGCCCCAGAUCAGGCGCCCGCCUAGGAAACUUAACUCUUGUUUUAUUUUGGAAUCUUCUGAGUAGUUUUUACAAAUAAAUAAAAACUUUCAACAACGGAUCUCUUGGUUCUGGCAUCGAUGAAGAACGCAGCGAAAUGCGAUAAGUAAUGUGAAUUGCAGAAUUCAGUGAAUCAUCGAAUCUUUGAACGCACAUUGCGCCCGCCAGUAUUCUGGCGGGCAUGCCUGUCUGAGCGUCAUUUCAACCCUCAUGCCCCUAGGGCGUGGUGUUGGGGAUCGGCCAAAGCCCGCGAGGGACGGCCGGCCCCUAAAUCUAGUGGCGGACCCGUCGUGGCCUCCUCUGCGAAGUAGUAAUAUUCCGCAUCGGACAGCGACGAGCCCCUGCCGUUAAACCCCCAACUUUCUAAGGUUGACCUCAGAUCAGGUAGGAAUACCCGCUGAACUUA